rnacentral:rRNA from 1 species
ACUCCUACGGGAGGCAGCAGUGGGGAAUAUUGCACAAUGGGGGAAACCCUGAUGCAGCCAUGCCGCGUGUGUGAAGAAGGCCUUCGGGUUGUAAAGCACUUUCAGUAGGGAGGAAGGUAGUGUAGUUAACACCUGCAUUAUUUGACGUUACCUACAGAAGAAGCACCGGCUAACUCCGUGCCAGCAGCCGCGGUAAUACGGAGGGUGCGAGCGUUAAUCGGAAUUACUGGGCGUAAAGCGCAUGCAGGCGGCCUGUUAAGUCAGAUGUGAAAGCCCGGGGCUUAACCUCGGAAUUGCAUUUGAAACUGGCAGGCUAGAGUCUUGUAGAGGGGGGUAGAAGUUUCAGGUGUAGCGGUGAAAUGCGUAGAGAUCUGAAGGAAUACCAGUGGCGAAGGCGGCCCCCUGGACAAAGACUGACGCUCAGAUGCGAAAGCGUGGGGAGCAAACAGGAUUAGAUACCCUGGUAGGAUAGCG